GACGAACGCUGGCGGCGUGCCUAAUACAUGCAAGUAGAACGCUGAAGGAGGAGCUUGCUUCUCCGGAUGAGUUGCGAACGGGUGAGUAACGCGUAGGUAACCUGCCUGGUAGCGGGGGAUAACUAUUGGAAACGAUAGCUAAUACCGCAUAAGAGUAGAUGUUGCAUGACAUUUGCUUAAAAGGUGCAAUUGCAUCACUACCAGAUGGACCUGCGUUGUAUUAGCUAGUUGGUGGGGUAACGGCUCACCAAGGCGACGAUACAUAGCCGACCUGAGAGGGUGAUCGGCCACACUGGGACUGAGACACGGCCCAGACUCCUACGGGAGGCAGCAGUAGGGAAUCUUCGGCAAUGGACGGAAGUCUGACCGAGCAACGCCGCGUGAGUGAAGAAGGUUUUCGGAUCGUAAAGCUCUGUUGUAAGAGAAGAACGAGUGUGAGAGUGGAAAGUUCACACUGUGACGGUAUCAUACCAGAAAGG
rnacentral:rRNA from 1 species